rnacentral:tRNA from 2 species
GGCCUUGGGGUGUCAACACGUGGGGUUGCAAACCCCAAGACGCAGUAUAAUACCUGCCGGGGCUU